rnacentral:lncRNA from 1 species
CCCGAGGGAUUUUUUCUUUUAGCUGGUCCAUGUCCCAGGUCUUGGCCUCCCAGGGCCCAUCAAGAUUUUUCCCUUCAAGUCCCUUCGGCAGCUGGAGCUCCGAGGCGUCCCCCUCCACUGCCUCCAUGGCCUCCGUGGCAUCUAUUCCCAGCUGGAGACCCUGAUUUGCAGCAGGAGCCUCCAGGCAUUAGAGGUGAGGAGAGUGAAGAGUGGGCCCAAGUGCCUUGUCCUGAGGGUCAUGGAGGGCCUGGCUCUGACAUUGCCCCUUCCCUGCAGCCUUCCUUGCCUCCCUCCUCCCUCUGGACAGUGUACUUGCUCCCUCUGCUGAGCUGCCCCAGCACUCUGUGCCUGUCCGUAUAUUUACAGUCCCACCUAGCAUACUGUAUUCGAUAUCCUCGCGUCUGCCCCCCCACUCUCCCCACAGUGAGCUCCUGGGGGACGGGGCCCUGGGUUUUCUUUAAGUCUGCAUCUCCAGACCCAGCUCAGUAUAUAAAGAAUGAACGAAUGGCCGGGUGAUAGAGUGUGGCCUUGGCAGGUGGGGCGCGGGGAGUGGAGGUAGCAGCACCCGCCUGCCCACACAGGAGCUCCUUUCAGCCUGCGGUGGCGACCUCUGCUCUGCCCUGCCCUGGCUGGCUCUGCUCUCUGCCGACUUCAGCUACAACGCAUUGACUGCCCUAGAUAGCUCGCUGGUGAGUGAGCCGCUGAAGGGGCUUUGGGAAAUGACAGAGAUGGGCCCUAAACGAGGAGGGCCAGCUCUGCCUGGGGGCGUCUGAUUGUCUGCUUCCUCUUCCCAUCCCCACAGCGUCUCUUGUCAGCUCUGCGCUUCCUGAACCUGAGCCACAAUCAAGUCCAGGACUGUGAGGCCUUCCUGAUGGUGGGUGUGAGCAGCCUGGCUGGGCCAGUGCCCUGGGACCUCCGGUCAUUCUGCUCUGACCCUCUCUCCGGGACCCGUUUUGCUCCCACCUUGCCCUGCACCGCCCCCCUACCCAGCCCUGCCCCACCCAAAUGAGCUACAUCCUGGGGGGCAGUACUGUUGGGAGGCACAGCCUCUAACACAAGAUCUCAACUCCUGAUCCCUGUGUGACUUGGGGCAAAUUAAGCCCUUUCAAUUUUUUUCAUUUGUAAAGUGCAAAUCAUAGGAGUACCUUUUUUUU